rnacentral:rRNA from 1 species
ACGGGUGAGUAACGCGUGGGAAUCUACCCAUCUCUACGGAAUAACGCAUGGAAACGUGUGCUAAUACCGUAUACGUCCUUCGGGAGAAAGAUUUAUCGGAGAUGGAUGAGCCCGCGUUGGAUUAGCUAGUUGGUGGGGUAAAGGCCUACCAAGGCGACGAUCCAUAGCUGGUCUGAGAGGAUGAUCAGCCACACUGGGACUGAGACACGGCCCAGACUCCUACGGGAGGCAGCAGUGGGGAAUAUUGGACAAUGGGCGCAAGCCUGAUCCAGCCAUGCCGCGUGAGUGAUGUAGGCCCUAGGGUUGUAAAGCUCUUUCACCGGUGAAGAUAAUGACGGUAACCGGAGAAGAAGCCCCGGCUAACUUCGUGCCAGCAGCCGCGGUAAUACGAAGGGGGCUAGCGUUGUUCGGAUUUACUGGGCGUAAAGCGCACGUAGGCGGACUAUUAAGUCAGGGGUGAAAUCCCGGGGCUCAACCCCGGAACUGCCUUUGAUACUGGUAGUCUUGAGUUCGAGAGAGGUGAGUGGAAUUCCGAGUGUAGAGGUGAAAUUCGUAGA